UGCAGUCGAGCGGAUGAAGGAGCUUGCUCCUGGAUUCAGCGGCGGACGGGUGAGUAAAGCCUAGGAAUCUGCCUGGUAGUGGGGGACAACGUCUCGAAAGGGACGCUAAUACCGCAUACGUCCUACGGGAGAAAGCAGGGGACCUUCGGGCCUUGCGCUAUCAGAUGAGCCUAGGUCGGAUUAGCUAGUUGGUGAGGUAAUGGCUCACCAAGGCGACGAUCCGUAACUGGUCUGAGAGGAUGAUCAGUCACACUGGAACUGAGACACGGUCCAGACUCCUACGGGAGGCAGCAGUGGGGAAUAUUGGACAAUGGGCGAAAGCCUGAUCCAGCCAUGCCGCGUGUGUGAAGAAGGUCUUCGGAUUGUAAAGCACUUUAAGUUGGGAGGAAGGGCAUUAACCUAAUACGUUAGUGUUUUGACGUUACCGACAGAAUAAGCACCGGCUAACUCUGUGCCAGCAGCCGCGGUAAUACAGAGGGUGCAAGCGUUAAUCGGAAUUACUGGGCGUAAAGCGCGCGUAGGUGGUUUGUUAAGUUGGAUGUGAAAGCCCCGGGCUCAACCUGGGAACUGCAUUCAAAACUGACAAGCUAGAGUAUGGUAG
rnacentral:rRNA from 1 species